GGUAAGAUCAGUUGUUGGAGAGGCAGUCUCCCUGAAGAGAUGACCUUUGAGGCUGAAUGAACUGGGAAGGAAUCAUUCGAAUAUGUAGGGGAGGAGUGUUUUGAAUGAGAACAGCAAACAGGUCUCUGAUAAGGGUGAGCCAAGGGUGUUUGAGAACCAGCUCUGAGGCCAGGGUUGGAGGGGGAAGGGGAGACACUAGCUGAGAAAAUAAGCAGACUUAGAAAAAUGAAAAUGAGAAACAUUAUGUAUUACAACAUAAGAAGUCAUUUGGGACAAAAUAAACAAGAAAGCUGUUGGCUAUUCAAAAAGGGAAGUAUCCUGUAGCCUCCGCAUCAGUGAGGAAGGCUUCCUGGCAGAUGAUGGCCUUGAGCUGUUCUCCUUCAUUCAUUUGCUCGUCUUGUAUUUGUUGAGUGUCAUAUAGGUGCCAGACUCUGUGGCAGGUAGUAGUGGUACAAUGAUGAGCAAAACAGACCAAACCCUAUGUCAGAGAGAGAGGAAAAGCAAAGAAUUCCAGGAGUAAAUAUGUAAUUACAGACUGUGAACAAUGCUGCGCAAGUACAAUGUAGCACAUGUAUGGGAAGAAUCUAAGACCUAAUGUAGCUUGGAGUAUGGUGGGUCAUUGGGGAAGGUGAUGCUCAGAAAGUGACCACAUGACUGGGACCUGGCCAAGCAGGGGGGUGUAAGAGCCACCUGGAUAGAAGCAGCAGACAGUGGGGAGGCCCAGGUGAAAUGAGUCAGACCUGUUCAGAAAACUGAAAUGGCUACUACUGCAUGGCUGAGCACAGCAAGAGCAGGUGGGGUUGGGUUUCCCCAAAUGGAGCUACACCAGAUUGUGUGGGGUUUGGGAUUUUAAAUUUUAUCUUAAAAACAGUGGGAAGCAAUGAAAGUAAGGGAAUGUCAUAAUCAGAUUGAUGGUUUGAGAUGCUUAUGUUCCAAGCUGUAUAGAAAAAGAUAUUGAAAGAGAUCAAAAGAGGAAGUGGAGAACUAGUUGAGAGGUCAUUGCAAGAGUCCAAGUUAGGAUGAUGCAGGCUUAGCCUAAAGUGAUGACAGUGGAGAUCAAGAGGAAGAGGAGGUAUAUUUUUGAACUACUUUCAUAAGGGAAAUCUCAGGUAACAUGCAGAAUUUUCAUUUAUGUGGUGAAAAAAUUAGAAAUACAAAAAACCCAAAAGCUCCAAGUUUUAUGCACUCUAAUAUUCUAAUAAUGACAUGUAUUUUAGCCAGUAACCCAGGCAUUGUCACUGCAGAUUUUGCAUGUCAGCAAUAAUUGUUUUAUUUUUGCAAAGUCUUUGGGAGUUUGAUUUGCUGAUUUCAUGCAAAUUGCAAGAUAGCAGUGCACUUAGUUCUUCAAUAAGUAGAACUCCUGCCACGUGCUAAGAACAGUUAUAAGUGCUGGGAACACAGUGGUGAGUGAAUAGGUCGGAUCUCUUUUUUUGAAGAGCUUGUAUUCUGAUAAAACUGACCUUUCUGUAUAUAAAGAAAAUAAGAGUGGUAUAUUUCUUAAAUACCUCAGUUUGAUAUAGGAAUGUAUAAAAUUAUUUCUGAAUUCCUAUGAGAAGGACUCCAAACUUCUGUUAAAAAAAUUAAAAGGUAAAUAAAUUAACAUGCAGAUGAAUUACUGGGAAAGUAUUUUCCACCAAACUAACGAAGAAACAAUGUUGUUACCCUAGAAAAAGAUCUUGCAUAAAUUAUUAAAUAAAAUAGAAUCUCCCAGCAGAAAAGCUUACUAAAGACAAAAAAAAUAGUUAAAAAAAUAAUACAAAUAGCUUCCAAAUAGAAAAAAAAUUGACAUUAGUAGUAAUAAAAGAAAUGCAAGUUAAAUCAACCAGGUUUCUUCUUUAACACUAGCAAAGAUUUUUCCUUUUUGAGUCAUGAUACUAAGUGGUAGAUGGGAGUGGCUGAACGAGUGUAAUUUGGCAUAGCUUUUCUGGAAAGCAGUUUGGCAAUAUGCAUGGUAUGCUUAAAGUGUUAAAUCCUUUUUCUUAAUUCUACUUUUUAUAUAACAAAUUAGUAAAGCAAUAUAGACAAAGAUUUCUAUAAAUAUAAGUGGGUAAAGUAUUCAAGAUAGAGCAGAUCUUGAACUUGGGAGGUCAGAAAAUUAUUAGCUUUAUGACCUGAAUUGUAAUUAGGUUUUUCAGAGCUUCUGGAGAUUUUAUUUUGAUCAGCUGUGAAUGGGUUGAACAGCCUCAGGUAAGAGCUACACCAUCCACAUUGGAAUCUCUAUUUCUUGGUUGGGUGAAGAUGUUAUACUGAUUUAGUCUCAAAAUAGGACUAUAGAACUUAGGGCUUCCUUACUCUCCUGCCUUCAAAGAGCUGCAUCAAGCUUCUUUGAGUCAGUGAUUGAGUCAGAGCCUAAACAUACCUGCCAGAAGCUCUCUGCUGCCAUCUCCAGUCCUUUCCUCUCUCUCAGUGCUACCUUCCACCUCCAUUCCAGAUUUUAGAACCCCAACACAUGCACACACACACGCACACAAGGGGACAUGGUGGUAGAUAUAAAACAGUGGAUUGGGAAUCAGUAAUAAUUGGCAAUGCUUGAUAGUGUGUAUGUCAGGUGCUGUGUAUACUAUGUAUAUUAUAUAACACAUAUUUACACAUUUAUAUAUAUUAACUCAAUCCGAACAGUAACAAAAUAGUAUCAUGUCAUAGAAGCUAUUAUGAUCCCCAUUUUACAGAUGAGGAAACUGAGGCACAGUAACUUCAACAAAGUCAUAUAGCUAGUGUGGAAUUUUUAGGUAGCAGUCUGGGUUCAGAGUCCUGCUUCUUAAAUCACCAUAUCAUUCUGCCUCUUUAACCAAGUGACUAGGGUUCAUGUCCUGAUUCUCCCACUUAACUAGCUAGCAAUUAAGAAAGACACUAAACAUCUCAGAGCCCGAUUACCUCCUGGGAAAAGGGUAGUAGUACCAGCUGCACCGAUGUAUUGCAAUGAUGGAGUGAGAUGAGGUGUAUGAAGUUCCUGACAUGUAAUAAGUAUUCAAGUACUUAGGACAUUAUUAUUCAUAAGUGCUUUAUAAUUUUAUGUAAUUUUUUACAUUGCUUUUGCCUUAAUAUUUAACUACCACAUGCAAAUGGAUUGCAAAGAUAAAACUGUACCUUCCUGAAACAUUUUUGGGCUCAUUUCUUGUGUCGCAACAUUUGAUGGUAACGUAGCUUACCAAAGAGUUCUGAUCCCCACCUCUUCAUCAAGUCCAGACCAUUUGUAUGACUUGGACACCUAUGACUGUAGACCAGGUCUGUGCCAGCUGUGGAGUCCACAGCAGUGAGUUUGACAGAAACUGUUGGCAGUUCCCUUUUGCGAUGGUGAAGUGGCAGCUAGGUUGGGUACAGAGGAAUUCACAAGUAUGUUCUACACUGUGGUCUCUAGAUGCAGAAUUUAGAAGUGGGCUUGCCUGUAUGUCUGAUCCCAUGAGCUGGUUUCUAAGGAGUGGCUGUGGUACAGAGUUUUAUGUCAGUCACAAGAAUGCAACUAUAAGCACAUCUUAAUUUACUUUCUCACUUACGUGGUCACCGUUUGCUCAUUUUGAUCCUGCAGAGUAAGGGUUCUAAGAAAAAGAGAAUAGUUUCCUUAUAUACCCCCAGAUUAGAAGUGGAAAUGAAAACGUCUUUUCUUACUGUGCAGAUCUGAGGACAUUUGGAACCAGCUGCACAUCUGGCUCUACUGUUGGCUGAGAUUUUGAACCAAAAAAAAAGAACCCUAGAGACUCUAACAUCUGAGAAGAAUGGACAGCUAAGGAGGCAGAGAAGGGAAGAAUGAGAGGUGUCAUUGAAGGAAAGAGAUGAGAAGAUGUCAAGAAGGAAGGAUGGUGUCAGGUAUUUCUACAGACAUGAGAUAAGGCCUGAAAUCUAUUGGACUAUGAAAGUGAAUAGAAGAUAAUGUUAGAUUUUAUUAAGAACAAUUUUAGAGGACUUGUAAAGGCUGAUACCGAAGAAGAGUUGAGAGUGGGUCGGUAGUCAAAAAGUAGAGAAAAGGAAUGCAAGCUAUUAUUUCUUGAAGUGUGGCCAUAAAUAGAAUGGAAGAGAUUAUACAGUCAAUAGAGAGAGAAGCCUGUUUCCCUUCAAAAUGACUAUAACUCACACUUUAUAAUUCAAGGGAGAGUCAUUGGAAAAGAAGACAGUGAAGAUAAAGGUAUAGGAGGUUAUGGAGAAAUACCAAGUAGAGGAGGAGAUGGGUCAAGUGCACAUAUUUAAGGAUUAGCUCCAUGGACAGCAGUGGAGAAGGAGAAAUUUUAUUCCACAAGUGACCUUGAAAAAUGAUAACAUUUGUAUCACCUGUCAGAGUGAUAGAAAAAAGGAAAAACACGGAGGUAGAGAGAGAAACAAAAAGAAAUAAGGAAGGUUGAGGGGAAGGCUUUCAGCCCCUUUCUCUCUCUUUUCCUUUUGGGAUGUGUAAUCGGACAUGAACCUGGAGAACUUCCAGGGGUCAGACCACUGUGAAUCUGUGACGGACCACUGGAAGAUUUUGGGUAAAUUCCAGACAAGAUCAACUUAAGAAGCCACAGUUCCUCUGGGUCAGCUUAAAGGGUCCAGGAGGCACAUCAACUUUUCCAUCUUUGUGAGACGACUCUUCACUCGGCCCCCAGAGGUUCUUCACCUGCCCCUCAGCCCCUUCUCACCAGGCUGUGAAGGGGGAUAUAGUUGCUCCAGUAAAAAUCUCUCUUCAUUUUAAGGAUUUACUCUAAUCAUAAUGGUGAGAAGUUGGAGAAUAACAGAUACAAUACGAGUCAAUUAAAAAGCUUAUGAAUAACAGACACCUCCAGGUAUGUGCCCUGGGGUAAUAAAGUCUGAGAGUAUAACAGAAGCCUUAUUGGACUCUGCUCCUUGAUUUGAUUCUGGAGGGAGAAGGUUUCUAAAAUGUCCGGUUAAGGCCGUGUUCACGGAGUUUUCAGGGCCAAUAGAAGCCGAAUCCCAGCUGCUCCCCUGUCUCAAAAUGUGACUUUCAUUUCUGGAAACCUCUAAAUACUCAUUUCAGUGAGUGCCCUUUUCAUAGAGUAAUGGUCUUCUUUGGGUAUUUCCUUACAAUAAGAGAGUUUUUGUUUUAUUUAUUUAUUUUGGGGGGGCUACCCAACAACCCAGUCAAUUAACAUUUAUAUAAUGCUGUUUCUUCAUAACAAAAAUUUUGAUGUCUAAAAUAUCAACUUGCAAAUGAGAGUUCGGAACUCAAAUUUUGAAGUCAUGGCAUUUAUGUAUUGACUCACUUUGGACGUUAAAUUUCUGGGUAGAAUAAUACGUAUUUUCAGUUCAUGUAUUAUGUGAAUACCAUUAAUUUAUUCUCUUUAUUUUGUAAAAUAAUCCAGUACAUUUGGAUAAGACCUCAUCCUGUAAAGAUGACAAUUUUUCAUCAGGUUAAUAGCUUUAACAUCAAACAAAAUUUUUAACCGUUUUUUUCAGAACUAGACCAAAUGGUUUUUAAAUUGCAUUGGAAAUUAGCAAGAAAAACAUCAAGGCAUAUUUCAAAGACAAUGAAAAAUAAUGGGAAAGACCAAUCCUAACAGAUAGUAGAUUAUGUUAUAAUAAUAAUAGUUAAACAGUGUAUCAGUGCUAAAAUUAUCUGUUGAGUGAAUGUAGUAGAAAUUCUAAUCAAUUUAGUUUAUAAUAGUAGAUGUGUGCUCAAGUUUAAAUUAUAGAAAACUUUAUUAAAUGUUCUAAUAAGUAGAUAGCAAUAUGGAGAAAAAUUAAGUUUAGAGGUAUAUGCCAAAAUGCAACAUAGGAGAGUAAAACAUUAAAUUUUUUUUAAAGAGAAUAAUUCCCAGAUAUGUCAAAGAGAUAGAUGCUUUUGAGAGAAUUAAAGCAAUAGAAGAAAUCAUAGAGAAAAAGAUGGACAAUUUUGAUUAAGUAAAAUUGGGUAUAAAAUUCAAACUAACAACAAAAAAAGAAUUUGCUAAAAUGGAAAAAUGGCAGUAGAUAAUGGGAAAGAAGAAGGUCCAGGAGGGGUGGGUAAAGCAGGGGCUUUAACGUCAGACCAUUGGGUCCAUAUCCUGCCUUUACUCCAUGUGUAAACAUGUUCAAGGUAUUUAAUUCAUCAGUGUCUCAGUUUCUUUUUCUUGAGGCUAAUAGUAUCCGACUUGUAGCAAUGUUGGAGAUGCGGAUGCAUGAGUGUGCAUGAGAACAUGAGUUCUCAUGAGUGCAUAAGAACAGACACUUGGAGCCGUGUUAGACUUGUAGUGACUGGUUAGUAAUUGACAGUGAUACCUGUCAUGAUCUAUGACAGUGUUCUUAGGGCAAUUGCCUUCUGGGGACAUUUGGCGAUUUCUGGAGACAUUUUUGAGUGUCACAAACUGCUACUGUCAUCUAGUUGAUAGAGACCUACUCAGCAUCCUAUAAUUACAGGACAGAUCCAUAGAAAUAAUUGGCCCAAGAUAUCAAUAGGGCUAUGCAUGAGAAACUGCUCUGUGGUGUGUGCAGAGCUCCCACAACUAAAGAACUGCAGUCAUAUUCCAAUAGAUACAUGGAAAAAAGGGCAUCAACAGUUCACUCAAGAAGAAGUUUAGAAAAUAAAUAUUUGGGAAGGUAUUCAAAUCUGCCAGUAAUUAAAAAUGAUUAACUCAGCUGAUGAAGAAUUUUAUGAAAAUUUCAAGAGUUCAUAUUAAAAUUCAAAGUCCGGGAUUUACCAGGGGAAUGGGUAUACUCAUACUCUGGUGGUGGCUCUGCAAAUUACUAUCUAUCCUUGGGAAAUAAUUUGGAAGAGAGCUAUGAAAAUGUGCAUGACUUUUAAUCCUUUGAUAGCCUUUCUAAAGAUUCAUUCUAAAUUAAGUAUUCAAAAAAUGACUUGUAUGGGCCAAUAUCUUAAUGCAUACUGUGAUAUUUCUUACAUUAGCAAAAACCUAAGAGCAAUGUAAAUGAACAGAAAAGGGAAACAGUUAAGCAAAUUAUACCUUAUAAUGAAAUGGACUACUUAAUCACCACUGAAUUUAUGAUCAAAUAAAAAAUACAACUCUGCAGAAAAUGUAAUGUUCAAAGUAACGUUAAAUGAAAAUGAGCAAAACAUUUAUUUAUUCUAUAAUUACAAUUUUAUGAAAUGAAUACGAAACAAAAUGUGUUCCAUGAUAUUGGUUGAAUGAAUUAAAAACAAAAAGAAAUAAAAAUGUGAUGUUAUAAGGGUGGUGGUAUAUAUGCAGUUUUUCUUUUAAAUUUAAUAUUUUUUAUGUGGUUUGAAAGUUGUUUAAACAAAUAGAAAAAGCAAGCAAAAACUCACCAGGCAUGCCUGCAUUUUGUGAUUUAAAGUUAAGUCAGAGGACAGAGGUGCAAAUAGAUGAUGAUCUUCACACAGCCACAGUUCUAUGGCCAGUGAAUUCAGCUGCCUGUGGUAUUUCUAAAUACACAAAUAUCUGAGUUUCUGCUCAGUUGGUGGCCCCUACAAACUUUGCAUUCAGCUUGGGGCAGGGUCAUUUUCAAGAUGCUUUUUUUUUUUUUUUUUAACCAUUUCAAUUGAAGUCUGCCCGGGAUCCUGAAGUAAAUGAUGUAAACAAACUCAUCAGACUUACUACACACAUUUUUAAGGAUUAACAAUAAGACAGUAAUGUGUUUGUGACUGUAAGAAGUUGGUCAUGGGGAAAAUUCUUUUUUCUUAGGGAGUUUUGAAUAAUGGUCCUUGGGAGAAAAAAAAUAAUUCAUAGGUUAAUUUUUUUUGAUUGCUUAUUUUUUAUAUAUACAAGUCAAGGUUUUUGACAGCAGUUUUCUUCUUUAAUGUUUAAAAAGGUAUCAUGGUUUAUUUAUAUAUUUACAGAUUUUCUAAGAUUUUACCAUUGGGCAAAACAGUGUAUAGAUAAGGAAAAAGGCACAAAAUCACUUCGGAAUUGGUUCUGAGAAUCUGUAGGAAGGAGAAAGUGCUACUGAUGGUGUGUUUUGCUCCAAGAUGGAUGAUCAGUGUGAAAUAUCAGGCCACGUCAUCAUCUUCCGUUCAUUUUUUUUUUUCCUAUAGAUUUUUCCUGGGUGCAAUGACCCACUCGUUACUAGAAACAAACUACAGAAACACUUUCUUUUCUCCCACAGGGGGAGAGAGAGAGAGAGAGAGCGGGAACUUUGACCAAAAAUUUAGCUCUAGCUUCCCUAGUAGUUUUUAGUAAUCUUAAAUCAUUUAAUUCUUUUGGCCUUUGGAUUUCCUAAUUAUAAAAUAGGAAUAAAAUGUCUUUGUCUUCACUUCUGACCCCACCAAGAUUUCAAGUCACAGGGGAUAAAGUGUUUUU